GGCUUGGUAGCCUAGUUGGUAAUGGCAGCAGUUCAAGUAUAGUGUCUUAGCUUCUACCUAGGUUCUCUGGUUCAAAUUCUGACCAAGUUA